AGUUAUCAAGCUCGAAACUUUAUGUUUUUAGCUUGGUUUUGGGCUUUGCCGUUUCCCUUCAUUUGGGGAACGGCUGGCCUUAAAGAUAUUAGCUUUGAUCCCUUGUGUGGCAUUGGUUCUACUCAGCGUGAUAAUAAUAUGACCGUUGAGGACAUCCUUCGGGAUGGCCAAUUCUCUUUGGGGGUUGCUCUCUAAUCUCGGUUGCAGGAUUUAUUUGAUCCUAAUCCAAUCCACUUCCAA
rnacentral:misc_RNA from 1 species